CUUCAAGUAUCAUCCACUAUGCAGCCACCUUGCUGGACAAAGGGUGCCCUCUGAGAUCCUGAGAAAAGGCCACAAUGACUUCUGGCUGGCAACUCCAUCAUGCCUUUUAUUCAAAGGCUGCAGUGGCUAAUACAAAGAGAGGCCAGCAGGGUAGUAAACAAUCCCUAAAUUGAGAGCCUGGGAACUCAGAGAGCCUGACCAGCAUCUUGCCCUAAGCAGUCCUGCCCUGUGCUCCAACCUAAUGGGAUCUCUGAAUUCUCCUUGGGCUUUCCAGGCAGCAGAGGAACUUGGCAGGCAGUCUGUAGGUUUGAGGCAAGCCUGUCUUCUGUACAAAUACCAAAUACCAGAACCUGCUAAUCCCUAAUGGAGUGAAGACAGCUACGUGGGUGUGAUAAUGCCAGGAAAACCUGGGCAACUCCUGCAACUCUGAGGUCAGCUAGGCCUCUCUGGCCCUACCAGAUCCAGCUAAGAGGACUGCAGACCCAUAAGGCCACAGUGAAGUUCAAGUUCCAUACCCUCCAAAGAUUUCUGCAAAUUCCCAGCCCUUAGCCUCCUCCUAGUCCCCUCUGCCCUGGGAAUCCAGAGUGGUGUCCCCUUUACCCACUCAGCUGCCCAGAUGUAAACUAUCAACCCUUUCACUGAUUUGCACAGAAAAAUCCACUCUACCCAGGCACAGCUCUUCCCUGACAUAGCAUUCUCAAUUUACCUCCCACAGAAAGGGCAGAAGGCAAAGGGGUGUUUUGCAAAAAAGGCCUCUGCCAUUUAUUUCAGUUGGGAACAUUUAAUCCAUUCCAGUACUCCAAAAGACAGUCCAAUUUUUCACAUAAAUAAAAUCCUUAUAAGAAAAAUCUCUAGUUAUAUAUGAGGUGAAAAGUACAGAUUUCUUAUUUUAAACACCAGUCAGUUAUUUCAGUAACCGAAGCAGCACCAAAAACAUUCUGAAUCAAAGUUUCUCAUGCACUGUGAGUUUCUCCAGCAAAGUCCAGCAUUCAGGCACCUUCUCUUUAAAGGCAAAACACAGCAAAGGAACAAAAACAAAAAAACAACCACCACCAAAGAUGCUAUUAUGGGGCCUCUCCUGAGUGUAGAAGUGAAAGACGAAGUUCCGUGAAUCACAAUGGCCAACUUUUGUAACUUGCCUGUCAGGGUUUGCUGAGAAAAACCAAGAGGGCAAGAUAUAGGAAUGGGAAGAACAGCUUCCCCACAAUGGCUGGCACUUACCUGGGCCAGGCAUGGUGCUCAGCCUUGUUUUAAAAUUUAAUUCUAUUUCUAUCAAACUUAAUACAUACACGUUUUAAAAAGUCAAAUACUACUAUAAGGCUAGUAAAAAAAUGUAGUGUUCCCCUCCCCAUACCUUCCCCACCCCAAGUCCCAAUUCAGCAAAUACUUUUCAUAUUUACCUCCACUUUUCUGAGUAAAAGACAUACUAUUGAAUCCUGACUUUUCCAUUUUAGACAUAAUCUCCUGCCUUCCUGCUAUGGUUGCUGAGGGUUUUAGAAAGGAUACCUUUACCUCAUCUACUUUCCCUUCUACAUCCUCCCCAUGUAAUCAUGUCACAGGUUUUGUUAAAUCAUUAUUCAAUGAACAUGUUAUUCUCAUUAAGUAAACAUUGUUCAAGCUGCUCCAGAAAAGUGUUGCAUUUUCUUUUGCAUAUGACUUUUUGUUUUCCCUGGAAUUAAUUAUUGACUUUGCUUCCACUUGCAUAAUUUAUGUAGCCAUCACUAAUUCUCCCUACAAACUCUGCAGAAGAGAUGUAAAAUUCCCCUGGGUAUAUUGAAACAUAUCCAUCCCAUCUGUACCUUGGAGAUGUCCUUCCAGAAGCUGUCCUUCCUCCUGUUCCAAUCUGAG
rnacentral:lncRNA from 10 species